GACGAACGCUGGCGGCGUGCUUAACACAUGCAAGUCGAACGGAAAGGCUCUGCUUCUGUGGGGUGCUCGCGUGGCGACCGGGUGCGUAACACGUGAGUCACCUGCCCUUGAUUUUGGGCUAACUUCAGGAACCUUUGUCUCAUACAGCAUAGGAGCUCCUGCUGCCCGGUGGGUGUUGGAACGUUUCGGUGGUUAGGGAUGGACUCGCAGAUUAUCCGCUUGUUGGUGGGGUACUGGCUUACCAAGGCUUUGACGGGUACCCGGCCUGAGAUGGUGAUCGGCCUCAUUGGGACUGACAUACCGCCGAGUCUCCUACUGGAUGCAGCAGUGGGGAAUAUUGCACAAUGGGCCGAAGCCUGAUGCAGCAACGCAGCGUGCGUGAUGUCAGCCGUCGGGUUGUAGACCGCUUUCGCCUGUGACGAAGCGUGAGUGGCGGUAAUGAGUAAAGAAGCACCGGCUAACUACGUG
rnacentral:rRNA from 1 species